UAUAUUAUAACAAUCAUGUAACAACGAUAAGUUUACUGUUUAAUUCAACUGUUUCAGUGAUAUGGGAUUAUAUCAAAUAAUAACUACAAAUACAAAGUUUUGAUAGAACAUGAUUUAGAAAUUAAUAUAAAUUGAAAUAUAAUUAAAAAUAUCUAUGCCGAAGAUGUUUAAUGCUGAGUUAGAAUCUGCUGGUAAAAAAUUUUUAAAUGAUUUUUUUAAGUUACAAGAUUCGUAAAGGUCUAUACAUCAUUUCAGAAAUGUUUCUUGUUCGAUGUACCAAACAUAUUUCUGUGGAACAAAUUCAAUCAUAGACAAUUAAUAAAGUUGAAACUAAAGUUAAUUAUAAUAUUAACACCUGUAACUUGAAUUUCAAAGUUAAUAUACAAAUGCGAUGUACUAUAAUGAAUUAGAAACUCAUGUACGACUUAGUAAACACAGACAGAAAGCUGACCAAAAGCUAAAUAAUACAUGAUUAAUUGUGCGUCAUUGAUCAUUAAAAUCUAACGAAUUCAAAAGCAGAAACAAAACGCAAAAUGAUUAGAAUCACCGGAAGAGAAAAAGAUUGGAUGAAAAUUAAAAUGAAGAGGAGGAGAAGAAGGAAAAAGAAGUGUAACAAGAAAUUGAAAAAGCAACAGAAAAAGGUUAUAUAUAUUUUUAAAUUUACAAUUUUUAUCUGAUAAUUAUUAUUAUACUAUUUUAGCUGGUUCUGAAAAUGAAAGUAGUCCGCAUACAUCAUUUAAAUCAUCUCUCGUGCUUUCAGCGUAAUUUCGUCUUCAUUUAUCGGUAUCUUCUAAAUCUAGUUUGAAAUCCACAUCACAUUCUCGUUCGAUAUAUAAAUUCGUUUCAUCCUUCUCGCUCGUAAUCAAAUUCAAAUUAUCCAUCUAAAUCACACAAUAAAUCGAAAUCAAGAUCUGAAUCACCUCAAUCGAGAAAUUCUUCUAAAUCAAAAUAAGUAUCAAGAUCUCGAUUUGGUUCUCCUGCCAAAUGACGGUCACGAUCGUAGUCGAAUCUAUAUCGAGGUUACAAUUUUGUUUAAGACCAAGGUUUUGGAGUGGAAGUGGCAGUGUUUCUGUUAACGAUAGUGUAGAAAGUAGUUUCGAAAACGAAUAAAAUAGCAGUACAUCAGAAAGUUCAUAUAAAUUAUGUUAUGAAAUAUUUUUGUAGAAAUGUUUAACUUUCAACACAUUUCCUAACACAUGUAAAAUUGUAUAUAACUUACCAAAGAAACAUAUAAAAAGUAAUAAGAUAGUUAUAAUUUCUAUAAGGAUAAUAAUAUCUAAGAAGUUUGAGAAUUUUAUU